CUGGCGGCGUGCUCAUACAUGCAAGUCGAACGAGAAAUUCACUUCGGUGGAUGGAAAGUAGGCGGACGGGUGAGUAAUGUGUAGAGAAUCUGCCCUGAAGAGGGGGACAACAGAGGGAAACUUCUGCUAAUACCCCAUAUGCGCGUAGUUGUGAUACUAUUCGUGAAAGAUUUAUCGCUUCAGGAUGAGUCUGCAUCUGAUUAGCUAGUUGGCGGUGUAAUGGACCACCAAGGCGACGAUCAGUAGCUGGUUUGAGAGGAUGAUCAGCCACAAUGGGACUGAGACACGGCCCAUACUCCUACGGGAGGCAGCAGUAGGGAAUUUUUGCGCAAUGGGCGAAAGCCUGACGCCAGCAACGCCGCGUGAUCGUAGAAGCCCUUCGGGGUGUAAAGAUCUGUCAGUAGGGACGAACAAUGACUGUACCUACAGAGGGAGCACCGGCUAACUCCGUGCCAGCCGCGGC
rnacentral:rRNA from 1 species